GCAGGUCAUCCCACAUGCAUCUUACAUUCCACUUGCAACAUUAUAUAGUUAACGUACAGUACAUAUUUAAUGGGAAUAGUAGCUAGUUACCUUGAUUUGGCCAUAUACCUGUUGCAGGCAUACAUCAGCACAUGUAAGUUAUGAUUUGUCUUCCAGGGAUAUGAAGCAAUGUCAGGAGGUCAGGGUAAUGUAGCUUACCCCAUAACCCCAAUAAUGGCAGAUUUUCCAAUCAGUGCCCCCAGUUUUGGAUAGGCAAUUUAGCAACACCCUGCCUUGCCUGCCACCUUUCAGACAGGCACCCAACCUGAUGACAUCAGUCUGUGUUAAUUGUUAAACCCAUAGAUAGGUCUCCUAUAUCUAUGGUUAAACCUAAAUGAUAAUAUUAUAUCAGCAAAAACAUUUCAAAGUUCAAACACUGUGUCAUAAUUCCAUUUAAUUAAGUUAUUUUCAAGCAUCAAUAAUUAAUUGUCAACAUAAUUUUUUAUGACUCAACUAAUAAAUAAAUUAAAUACAUAUAACCAUGGAACUGUUUGUAUGAAUGUAAUGCAAUGCAUAAUACAGUGCCGUAGCCAGAAUGAUAAUUGGGGGGGGGGGCACAUAUUCAUAUAUUCGUGUUCACAUACCAUAAAAACAAUUGAUUUCAAAAGAAAUUAAUAAAGCAGAACACAAAUAUAUGAAUAUGUGCCCCCCCCCCCAAUUAUCGUUCUGGCUACGGUACUGGCACAAUGUUAAAUCAAACUUAUCACAGGACAAAGGAAUGAUAUAGCUAGAGUAAUAACAGAGGGAAGUAUUUUCAUGUUUAUUUUAAAUAUCAAUACAAUGCACCAAUUAAAGUAUCACUAUGUAAUUGUAAUAAACAAAAUAGGCUAACAGGUCCACAGUUGCCCAUAAAGCAUUCUACAUAUUUUAAUAUUAUAAAAAAUAUCUAAUAGUUUGUAAUAAUCUAGAUCCUCUAUAAAACCUCUGUCAGUGGCCUUCUUGCGAAGUCUCUCGAUACCAUUUCUUGACCGUAUAAAAUCCAUAGAAAUGAUUAGUUUAUAUACACCGCAUAUAUAUUUACUCUGUACAAGAAAAUGAAUCUUUUUUAACCUUUUUCAAU
rnacentral:lncRNA from 1 species